rnacentral:rRNA from 1 species
CGAAUCCUGCAAAGCAGAACGGCCCGUGAAUUUGUAUAUAAUAAUCCGGGAGUGCAUCGGAUGGGUUCUUGGCCUGUUCGGUGUUGUCCCUUGCUAGGGGUGGGCUAGUUGUCCUCUUAGGACACUAGUUCACAUUCCUAGCAGCACAAUAAACCCCGGCGCGAACUGUGCCAAGGAAAUUGAACAAAGAGAUCAUGCUUGUUGCUCCUGUUCGCGGGUUGCGACGAGUGUUGAAUCUUGCAUAACAAUAAAACGACUCUCGGCAACGGAUAUCUAGGCUCUCGCAUCGAUGAAGAACGUAGCAAAAUGCGAUACUUGGUGUGAAUUGCAGAAUCCCGUGAACCAUCGAGUUUUUGAACGCAAGUUGCGCCCGAAGCCAUUAGGCCAAGGGCACGUCUGCCUGGGCGUCUCAUAAAGCGUCGCUUGCACCACUCCCCAACGAGUAACGGUGUUUGGAGCGGAUAGUGGCUCCCCGUGUGCCUUUGUAUGCGGUCGGCCUAAAAAUGAGUCUCGACAAUCAACGUCACGACAAGUGGUGGUUGUCAAACUGUUGCGUUUUGUCGUGCACGUUUCGAUUGCCAUCGGAUGACUAUUUGACCCUGAAGCUCAAUUAUAUUGGAACCUUGAUCGCG